GAUGAACGCUGGCGGCGUGCCUAACACAUGCAAGUCGAACGGAGAUUACGGACGGAAGUUUUCGGAUGGAAGACUGUAAUUCUUAGUGGCGGACGGGUGAGUAACGCGUGGGCAACCUGCCCUAUACAGGGGGAUAGCAGCUGGAAACGGCUGGUAAGACCGCAUAAGUCGGCGAGACCGCAUGGUUUUGCCGGGAAAUGAGCAAUCAGGUAUAGGAUGGGCCCGCGUCCGAUUAGCCAGUUGGCAGGGUAAAAGCCUACCAAAGCAACGAUCGGUAGCCGGACUGAGAGGUCGGACGGCCACAUUGGGACUGAGACACGGCCCAAACUCCUACGGGAGGCAGCAGUGGGGGAUAUUGCACAAUGGAGGAAACUCUGAUGCAGCGACGCCGCGUGAGUGAAGAAGUAUUGCGGUAUGUAAAGCUCUAUCAGCAGGGAAGAUGAUGACGGUACCUGACUAAGAAGCCCCGGCUAACUACGUG
rnacentral:rRNA from 1 species